UGAGGAAUAUUGCACAAUGGGGGCAACCCUGAUGCAGCAACGCCGCGUGGAGGAUGAAGGCUUUUGAGUUGUAAACUCCUUUUCUGAGGGAAGAGUAAGGACGGUACCUCAGGAAUAAGGCCCGGCUAACUACGUGCCAGCAGCCGCGGUAAUACGUAGGGGUCAAGCGUUGUCCGGACUUACUGGGCGUAAAGCGCACGCAGGUGGUAACGCAAGUGGGGUGUGAAAGCCGCCAGCUCAACUGGCGGAGGCCAUCCCAAACUGCGUCACUUGAGGCCUGUAGAGGUAUGUGGAAUUGCCGGUGUAGUGGUGAAAUGCGUAGAGAUCGGCAGGAACACCCAGGGGGAAGCCAGCAUACUGGACAGGUCCUGACACUCAGGUGCGACAGCGUGGGGAGCGAACCGGAUUAGAUACCCGCGUAGUCC
rnacentral:rRNA from 1 species